CAAUAGCGUAUAUUAAAGUUGUUGCAGUUAAAAAGCUCGUAGUUGGAUUUGUGGCGUACGGUGGGUUCCGGGCACUUGUUGUCUGAGUAACCUGCUGUUGCCAUCCUUGGGUGGAACCUGUGUGGCAUUAGGUUGUCGUGCAGGGGAUGCCCACCAUUUACUGUGAAAAAAUUAGAGUGUUCAAAGCAGGCUUAUGCCGUUGAAUAUAUUAGCAUGGAAUAAUGAGAUAGGACUUUCUUGCUAUUUUGUUGGUUUGCGCAAAGAGGUAAUGAUUAAUAGGGACAGUUGGGGGUAUUCGUAUUCCAUUGUCAGAGGUGAAAUUCUUGGAUUUUUGGAAGACGAACUACUGCGAAAGCAUUUACCAAGGAUGUUUUCAUUAA
rnacentral:rRNA from 1 species